UGCUCUCUGUGACGAGAGCCACGCCAAUUCUUACCGCGGUAAUAGAACUGCAUAGUUUCUAUCACCGGGUGAAAAUUCGGCUCGGAUCUCUUAACAGAC
rnacentral:pre_miRNA from 1 species